rnacentral:rRNA from 1 species
GACGUUGUGAGAAGUUCAUUAAACCUUAUCAUUUAGAGGAAGGAGAAGUCGUAACAAGGUUUCCGUAGGUGAACCUGCGGAAGGAUCAUUGUACACACAAUAAGCAAACCAGCGAACCGUAGUUGUCCCUCGAGGGGCCGCACUUGGAGGUGCGGCCGCCGUUGAUGCACCCGGUCUUCGGGCCGGCCCGUUGGCGUGGCGGGCUGUGGGUUGUCUUUGGCUGGAGCGUCCCGUAGCGUGGCUUUGGCCUUGGCCUCUCGGAUUCAUUCGAGGGGCCGGAGUUGAGGUCGGGCCCUCCCCUCCCCUUUUGGCUCCCUCCCUCCCGGGGGAGGGAGCCGUCUGGGCCGCCUUUUCCACCAAGAACCUUGGGAACAUGUAUGAGCAGCCUGAGUUUGGGUCCGCACUUGCGGCCCGAGUCAUAAACAAAACAAUGACUCUCAGCAACGGAUAUCUUGGCUCUUGCAACGAUGAAGAACGCAGCGAAAUGCGAUACCUAGUGUGAAUUGCAGAAUUCCGUGAAUCAUCGAGUCUUUGAACGCAAGUUGCGCCCGAGGCUUGUCCCGAGGGCAUGCCUGCCUGAGCGUCACCGCACCCCCACCUCCCACCUCGUGUGGUUGAGUGGAAGUGGCCGUCCGGGGCCCAGCACUUAUGUCGGGCUGCGGUCGGCUGAAAUGGAGUGUCCCGGAGGCGACCUGCUAGGGAGCCGCGAGAAGGUGAUCCGACCCCUAUGGGGACGGAGUCUAAGACAGCGGCUCCCGAGGGAGCUGAAGGGGAAUGGGGGGCAUCUCUGAGUGCCCCCCAAAGGAAGGGAGUCGAGAGACUCCACGGCUUGGACCUCAGAUCAGGCAAGAUUACCCGCUGAGUUUAAGCAUAUCACUAAGCGGAGGAAAAGAAACUAACUAGG